rnacentral:lncRNA from 1 species
GUCGCUUGCACUAAUGCAUCUUUGCUCAUUUUGCUCAUGCAUGACCAUCAAAACAUGUGCCAAGUAAGCUUUGAGAUGCAUGAUCGCGCAUGAUCAUAUAUUUUCAAGGCGUGAUCGAGCGAUCACCAGCGCAGGAAAGACCCACAUGGUGUUUUACAUGAAAGAGCUAACCUGAUCCUAUAAUUAACCAACCAGAAGAAAUUUAGAUAAUUGGUCUUUAAAAAAAAAUAUGACAGUUCUUAGAGCAAAAAUAUCAAAGCAACUCUUUUAUACAUGCUCAACCUAAAUCUGGUGCUAUGAGAUAAUAAAAAUUUCUAAAAACCUUAUAAAAUCUCAAAAAGAGCCUAUCAUAUGACCUCAGAAAUUGGAACUCCCCCCUCCUCUUCACUCUUUCUCCAUUUCAUGUGCCCUGGUUCUUGUGAUAUAUGGUACCAAUCAUAUUACCUAAUUUAAGGCCAAGUCAAACA